rnacentral:tRNA from 1 species
GGGGUUGUGGCUCAGGGGUAGAGCACUCGCCUAGCAUGUGUGAGACCCUGGGUUCAGUCCUCAGCACCACA